rnacentral:rRNA from 1 species
CGGAACACGUACGCAACAUACCCUUGUCCGGGGCACAGCCUUCUGAAAAGGAGAUUAACACCCCAUAAGAUCACAAGCGUGGCAUCACGCAGUGAUAAAAAAUUUAUUGGACAGGGAUUGGCGUGCGUCCUAUUAGCUAGUUGGUAAGGGUAACGGCCUACCAAGGCGACGAUAGGUAGCUGGUGUGAGAGCACGACCAGCCACACGGGCACUGAGACACGGGCCCG